GACGAACGCUUGCGACGUGCCUAAGAAAUGCAAGUCGAGCGAGGAGCAAUCCUAGCGGCGAACGGUCGCGUAACACGUAAGCCAACCUGCCCCAAAGACCGGGACAACGUUCCGAAAGGAGCGCUAAUUACCGGAUGUGACCUCACCUUGACAUCGGGGUGAGAUUAAAGCGCGCAAUCGGCUUUGGGAGGGGCUUGCGGCCUAUCAGCUAGGA
rnacentral:rRNA from 1 species